rnacentral:rRNA from 1 species
UACGAAGGGGGCUAGCGUUGCUCGGAAUCACUGGGCGUAAAGGGUGCGUAGGCGGGUCUUUGAGUCCGGGGUGAAAUCCUGGAGCUCAACUCCAGAACUGCCUUUGAUACUGGAGAGCUUGAGUCCGGAAGAGGUGAGUGGAACUCCGAGUGUAGAGGUGAAAUUCGUAGAUAUUCGCAAGAACACCAGUGGCGAAGGCGGCUCACUGGCCCGGUACUGACGCUGAGGCACGAAAGCGUGGGGAGCAAACAGG